rnacentral:rRNA from 1 species
GACGAACGCUGGCGGCGUGCCUAAUGCAUGCAAGUCGAACGCGCCCGCUUGCGCGGGUGGCGUGGCGAACGGCUGAGUAACACGUAGGUGACCGACCGUCCGGUGGGGGAUAACGCCGCGAAAGCGGUGCUAAUCCCGCAUUCGCUCCCCCGCCUGGGGGAGGAAAGCCGGCAGGCGCCGGACGCCGGGCCUGCGGCCCAUCAGGUGGUUGGUAGGGUAACGGCCUACCAAGCCGACGACGGGUAGCUGGUCUGUGAGGACAGACAGCCAGACUGGG